rnacentral:rRNA from 1 species
UUGGAGGGCAAGUCUGGUGCCAGCAGCCGCGGUAAUUCCAGCUCCAAUAGCGUAUAUUAAAGUUGUUGCAGUUAAAAAGCUCGUAGUUGAAUUUCGGGAUUAGUACGUUGGUCGUGCCUUCGGUACGUACUGGUGUUACUGAUUCCUACCUUCUGACGAACCAUCAUGUCAUUAAUUUGGUGUGGUGGGGAAUCAGGACUGUUACUUUGAAAAAAUUAGAGUGUUUAAAGCAGGCUCGCGCUUGAAUACAUUAGCAUGGAAUAAUGAAAUAGGACGUUGACCCUAUUUUGUUGGUUUCUAGGAUUGACGUAAUGAUUAAUAGGGAUAGUUGGGGGCAUUAGUAUUCAAUUGUCAGAGGUGAAAUUCUUGGAUUUAUUGAAGACUAACUACUGCGAAAGCAUUUGCCAAGGAUGUUUUCAUUAAUCAAGAACGAAAGUUAGGGGAUCGAAGACGAUCAGAUACCGUCGUAGUCUUAACCAUAGACUAUGCCGACUAGGGAUCGGAUGAUGUUAUUUUUAAUGACUCAUUCGGCGCCUUACGGGAAAC